rnacentral:sRNA from 1 species
UGACCGCGAUGGUGCGUUGCGGCCGUUU